rnacentral:rRNA from 1 species
UACGUAGGGUGCAAGCGUUAAUCGGAAUUACUGGGCGUAAAGCGUGCGCAGGCGGUUUUGUAAGUCUGUCGUGAAAGCCCCGGGCUCAACCUGGGAAUUGCGAUGGAGACUGCAAGGCUUGAAUCUGGCAGAGGGGGGUAGAAUUCCACGUGUAGCAGUGAAAUGCGUAGAGAUGUGGAGGAACGCCGGUGGCGAAAGCGGCCACCUGGGUCUGACCUGACGCUGAGGUGCGAAAGCGUGGGGAGCAAACCGG